rnacentral:lncRNA from 1 species
UUUUUUUUCUAGGGUGCCCCCCUGCCCCCUUAUAUAAAGGAGCAAGGGGGAGGCUGGCCGGCCCUUGGGGCGCACCAGGAGAGGAGGAUUCCUCCUCCUAGUAGGAGUAGGACUCCCCUUUCCUACUCCUACUAGGAGGGGGAAAGGAAGGAGGAGAGGGAGAAGGAAAGGGGGCGCCGCCCCCCUUCCCUAGUCCAAUUCAGACCAGAGGGGAGGGGGCGCGCGACCUGCCCUGGCCGGCCCUCUCUCUCUCCACUAAGGCCCAUGUGGCCCAUUAGUUCUCUCGGGGGGUUCUGGUAACCCUCCGGCACUCCGGUUUUCUCCAAAAUCACCCGGAACACUUCCGGUGUCCGAAUAUAGCCGUCCAAUAUAUCAAUCUUUAUGUCUCGACCAUUUCGAGACUCCUCGUCAUGUCCAAUAUAGCAGGUUAAUUUGGCACCUAGCGGUGCUUCCAGGACGUAAUUCUUCUGUGCAGCAAUGAGGACAAUCCUCAAGUUACGGACCCAGUUCGUGUAGUUGCUACCAUCAUCUUUCAACUUAGCUUUCUCUAGGAACGCAUUAAAAUUCAACGGAACAACAGCACGGGGCAUCUAUCUACAACAACAUAGACAUGCAAAAUACUAUCAGGUACUAAGUUCAUGAUAAAUUAAAGUUCAAUUAAUCAUAUUACUAAAGAACUCCCACUUAGAUAGACAUCCCUCUAAUCAUCUAAGUGAUCACGUGAUCCAUAUCAACUAAACCAUGUCCGAUCAUCACGUGAGAUGGAGUAGUUUUCAAUGGUGAACAUCACUAUGUUGAUCAUAUCUACUAUAUGAUUCACGCUCGACCUUUCGGUUUCAGUGUUCCGAGGCCAUAUCUGCAUAUGCUAGGCUCGUCAAGUUUAACCCGAGUAUUCUGCGUGUGCAAAACUGGCUUGCACCCGUUGUAUGUGAACGUAGAGCUUAUCACACCCGAUCAUCAUGUGGUGUCUCGGCACGACGAACUUUCGCAACGGUGCAUACUCAGGGAGAACACUUGUACCUUGAAAUUUAGUGAGAGAUCAUCUUAUAAUGCUACCGUCGAACUAGGCAAAAUAAGAUGCAUAAAGGAUAAACAUCACAUGAAAUCAAUAUAAGUGAUAUGAUAUGGCCAUCAUCAUCUUGUGCCUUUGAUCUCCAUCUCCAAAGCACCGUCAUGAUCACCAUCGUUACCGGCGCGACACCUUGAUCUCCAUUGUAGCAUCGUUGUCGUCUCGCCAACUACUGCUUCUACGACUAUCGCUACCGCUUAGUGAUAAAGUAAAGCAAUUACAUGGCGAUUGCAUUUCAAUCAAUAAAGCGACAACCAUAUGGCUCCUGCCAGUUGCCGAUAACUCCGUUACAAAACAUGAUCAUCUCAUACAAUAAAAUUUAGCAUCAUGUCUUGACCAUAUCACAUCACAACAUGCCCUGCAAAAACAAGUUAGACGUCCUCUAAUUUGUUGUUGCAAGUUUUACGUGGUUGCUACGGGCUGAGCAAGAACCGUUCUUACCUAUGCAUCAAAACCACAAAGAUUUUUUGUCAAGUAUGUGUGCUGUUUUAACCUUCAACAAGGACCGGGCGUAGCCACACUCGAUUCAACUAAAGUUGGAGAAACUGACACCCGCCAGCCACCUGUGUGCGAAGCACGGUGGUAGAACCAGUCUCGCGUAAGCGUACGCGUAAUGUCGGUCCGGGCCGCUUCAUCCAACAAUACCGCCGAAUCAAAGUAUGACAUGCUGGUAAGCAGUAUGACUAUUAUCGCCCACAACUCACUUGUGUUCUACUCAUGCAUAUAACAUCUACGCAUAAACCUGGCUCUCAUGCCAUUGUUGGGGAACGUAGUAAUUUCAAAAAAAUUCCUACGCACACGCAAGAUCAUGGUGAUGCGUAGCAACGAGAGGGGAGAGUGUUGUCCACGUACCCUCGUAGACCGUAAGUGGAAGCGUUAUGACAACGUGGUUGAUGUAGUCGUACGUCUUCACGAUCGACUGAUCCUAGUACCGGAAGUAUGACACCUCCGCGAUUUGCACACGUUCGGCUCGGUGACGUCCCACGAACUCACGAUCCAGCAGAGUGUCGAGGGAGAGCUUCGUCAGCACGACGACGUGAUGACGGUGAGGAUGAAGCUACCGGUGCAGGGCUUCGCCUAAGCACUACGACGAUAUGACCGAGGUGGAUUAUGGUGGAGGGGGGCACCGCACACGGCUGGAAACAAUCAACUUUUUUUUGUUCUAGGGUGCCCCCCUGCCCCCGUAUAUAAAGGAGCAAGGGGGAGGCUGGCCGGCCCUUGGGGCGCGCCAGGAGAGGAAGAGUCCUCCUCCUAGUAGGAGUAGGACUCCCCUUUCCUACUCCUACUAGGAGGGGGAAAGGAAGAAGGAGAGGGAUAAGGGAAGGGGGGCGCCGCCCCCCUUCCCUAGUCCAAUUCAGACCAGAGGAGGAGGGGUGCGCGGCCUGCCCUGGACGGCCCUCUCUCUCCACUAAGGCCCAUGUGGCCCAUUAGUUCUCCCGGGGGAUUCCGGUAACCCUCUCGCACUCCGGUUUUCUCCGAAAUCACCCGGAACACUUCCGGUGUCCGAAUAUAGCCGUCCAAUAUAUCAAUCUUUAUGUCUCGACCAUUUUGAAACUCCUAGUCAUGUCCGUGAUCACAUCCGGGACUCCAAACUAUCUUCGGUACAUCAAAACACAUAAACUCAUGAUACCAAUCAUCACCGAAUGUUAAGCCUGAGGACCCUACGGGUUCGAGAACUAUGUAGACAUGACCGAGGCACGUCUCCGGUCAAUAACCAAUAGCGGAACCUGGAUGUUCAUAUUGGCUCCCACUUAUUCUACGAAGAUCUUUAUCGGUUAAACCGCAUAACAACAUACGUUGUUCCCUUUCUCAUCGGUAUGUUACUUCCCCGAGAUUCUAUCGUCGGUAUCUCAAUACCUAGUUCAAUCUCGUUACCGGCAAGUCUCUUUACUCGUACCGUGAUGCAUCAUCCCGCAACUAACUCAUUAGUCACAUUGCUUUCAAGGCUUAUAGUGAUGUGCAUUACCGAGAGGGCCCGGAGAUACCUCUCCGACAAGCAGAGUGACAAAUCCUAAUCUCGAUCUAUGCCAACUCAACAAGUACCAUCGGAGACACCUAUAGAGCACCUUUAUAAUCACCCAAUUACGUUGUGACAUUUGGUAGCACACAAAGUAUUCCUACGGUAUUCGGGAGUUGCAUAAUCUCAUAGUCAUAGGAACAUGUAUAAGUCAUGAAGAAAGCAAUAGCAUUAUACUAAACGAUCAAGUGCUAAGCUAACGGAAUGGGUCAAGUCAAUCACAUCAUUCUCUAAUGAUGUGAUCCCGUUAAUCAAAUGACAACUCAUGUCUAUGGCUAGGAAACUUAACCAUCUUUGAUUCAACGAGCUAGUCAAGUAGAGGCAUACUAGUGACACUUUGUUUGUCUAUGUAUACACACAUGUACUAAGUUUCCGGUUAAUACAAUUCUAGCAUGAAUAAUAAACAUUUAUCAUGAUAUAAGGAAAUAUAAAUAACAACUUUAUUAUUGCCUCUAGGGCAUAUUUCCUUUACACUGAACUAUCGAGUAGUCAUCAGCUUUGCUCUGCCGGACGUUCAUAACAUCUGGUGUUGCUGCUGCAGCAGGUUAAUUUGGCACCUAGAAGUGCUUCCAGGACGUAAUUCUUCUAUGCAGCAAUGAGGAUAAUCCUCAAGUUACGGACCCAGUCCGUGUAGUUGCUACCAUCAUCUUUCAACUUAGCUUUCUCUAGGAACGCAUUAAAAUUCAACGGAACAACAGCACGGGCCAUCUAUCUACAACAACAUAGACAUGCAAAAUACUAUCAGGUACUAAGUUCAUGAUAAAUUAAAGUUCAAUUAAUCAUAUUACUAAAGAACUCCCACUUAGAUAGACAUCCCUCUAAUCAUCUAAGUGAUCACGUGAUCCGUAUCAACUAAACCAUGUCCGAUCAUCACGUGAGAUAGAGUAGUUUUCAAUGGUGAACAUCACUAUGUUGAUCAUAUCUACUAUAUGAUUCAUGCUCGACCUUUCGGUUUCAGUGUUCCGAGGCCAUAUCUGCAUAUGCUAGGCUCGUCAAGUUUAACCCGAGUAUUCUGCGUGUGCAAAACUGGCUUGCACCCGUUGUAUGUGAACGUAGAGCUUAUCACACCCGAUCAUCACGUGGUGUCUCGGCACAACGAACUUUUGCAACGGUGCAUACUCAGGGAGAAUACUUGUACCUUGAAAUUUAGUGAGAGAUCAUCUUAUAUGCUACCGUCGAACUAAGAAAAAUAAGAUGCAUAAAGGAUAAACAUCACAUGCAAUCAAUAUAAGUGAUAUGAUAUGGCCAUCAUCAUCUUGUGCCUUUGAUCUCCAUCUCCAAAGCACCGUCAUGAUCACCAUCGUUACCGGCGCGACACCUUGAUCUCCAUCGUAGCAUCGUUGUCGUCUCGCCAACUACUGCUUCUACGACUAUCGCUACCGCUUAGUGAUAAAGUAAAGCAAUUACAUGGCGAUUGCAUUUCAAUCAAUAAAGCGACAACCAUAUGGCUCCUGCCAGUUGCCGAUAACUCCGUUACAAAACAUGAUCAUCUCAUACAAUAAAAUUUAGCAUCAUGUCUUGACCAUAUCACAUCACAACAUGCCCUUCAAAAACAAGUUAGACGUCCUCUACUUUGUUGUUGCAAGUUUUAUGUGGCUGCUACGGGCUGAGCAAGAACCGUUCUUACCUAUGCAUCAAAACCACAACGAUUUUUCAUCAAGUAUGUGCUAUUUUAACCUUCAACAAGGACCGGGCGAAGCCACACUCGAUUCAACUAAAGUUGGAGAAACUGACACCCGCCAGCCACCUGUGUGCGAAGCACGUCGGUAGAACCAGUCUCGCGUAAGCGUACGCGUAAUGUCGGUCCGGGCCGCUUCGUCCAACAAUACCGCCAAAUCAAAGUAUGACAUGCUGGUAAGCAAUAUGAGUAUUAUCGCCCACAAAUCACUUGUGCUCUACUCGUGCAUAUAACAUCUACGCAUAAACCUGGCUCGGAUGCCACUGUUGGGGAACGUAGUAAUUUCGAAAAAUUCCUACACACACGCAAGAUCAUGGUGAUGCAUAGCAACGAGAGGGGAGAGUGUUGUCUACGUACCCUCGUAGACCGUAAGGAGAAGCGUUAUGAAAACGCGGUUGAUGUAGUCGUACGUUUUCAUGAUCGACCGAUCCUUGUACCGAAAGUACGCCACCUCCGCGAUCUGCACACGUUCGGCUCGGUGACGUCCCACAAACUCACGAUCCAGCAGAGUGUCGAGGGAGAGCUUCGUCAGCACGACGGCGUGAUGACAGUGAUGAUGAAGCUACCGGCGCAGGGCUUCGCCUAAGCACUGCAAUGAUAUGACCGAGGUGGAUUAUGGUGGAGGGGGGCACCGCACACGGCUAAGAGAUCAAUGAUCAACUUGUGUGUUCUAGGGUGCCCCCUGCCCCCGUAUAUAAAGGAGCAGGGGGAGGACGGCCGGCCCUUGGGGCGCGCCAAGGAGGGGAGGAGUCCUCCUCCUAGUAGGAGUAGGACUCCCCCUUUGCUAGUCCAACUAGGAGGAGGAAGGGGAAAGGAAGCUGAGGGAGAGAGGAAGGGAAAGAGGGGGCGCCGCCCCCUGCCUUGUCCAAUUUGGACUCCCAGGAGGGGGCGCGGCCAGCCCUAUGGCCCCUCCUCUCUCUCACACAAGGCCCAUGUUGGCCCAUUAGUUCCCCCAGGGGUUCCGAUAACCCCCCAGCACUCCGAUAAUUAUCCGGUGACCCCCAAAACUCAUCCGGUGUCCGAAUAUAGUCAUCCAAUAUAUCAAUAUUUAUGUCUCGACCAUUUCGAGACUCCUCGUCAUGUCCGUGAUCACAUCCGGGACUCCGAACUAUCUUCGGUACAUCAAAACACAUAAACUCAUAAUACCAAUCAUCACCGAACGUUAAGCGUGCGGACCCUACGGGUUCGAGAACUAUGUAGACAUGACCGAGACACGUCUCCGGUCAAUAACCAAUAGUGGAACCUGGAUGUUCAUAUUGGAUCCCACAUAUUCUACGAAGAUCUUUAUCGGUCAAACCGCAUAACAACAUACGUUUUUCCCUUUGUCAUCGGUAUGUUACUUGCCCGAGAUUCGAUCGUCGGUAUCUCAAUACCUAGUUCAAUCUCGUUACCGGCAAGUCUCUUUACUUGUUCCGUAAUGCAUCAUCCUGCAACUAACUCAUUAGUCACAUUGCUUGCAAGGCUUAUAGUGAUGUGCAUUACCGAGAGGGCCCAGAGAUACCUCUCCGACAAUCGGAGUGACAAAUCCUAAUCUCGAUCUAUGCCAACUCAACAAGUACCAUCAGAGACACCUGUAGAGCACCUUUAUAAUCACCCAGUUACGUUGUGACGUUUGGUAGCUCACAAAGUGUUCCUCCGGUAUUCGGGAGUUGCAUAAUCUCAUAGUCAUAGGAACACGUAUAAGUCAUGAAGAAAGCAAUAGCAAUAUACUAAAUGAUCAAGUGCUAAGCUAACGAAAUGGGUCAAGUCAAUCACAUCAUUCUCUAAUGAUGUGAUCCCGUUAAUCAAAUGACAACUUAUGUCUAUGGCUAGGAAACUUAACCAUCUUUGAUUCAACGAGCUAGUCAAGUAGAGGCAUACUAGUGACACUCUGUUUGUCUAUGUAUUCACACAUGUACUAAGUUUCCGGUUAAUACAAUUCUAGCAUGAAUAAUAAACAUUUAGCAUGAUAUAAGGAAAUAUAAAUAACAACUUUAUUAUUGCCUCUAGGGCAUAUUUCCUUCACGACGCUGGUUCCUCCUCCGCCUCCAUGCCACUCCGUUUCAGCUCCUCCUCCAACGAGCCCCACCUCAUCUGCCCGGAGGCCACCUUUGAUCUCAACACCCCUCCUCCUGACCUCUCCGCUCCGGUCGACGGAGUCGCUGUCAGGCUUCAGCUACACCUCAUCAAAGCUAUCCAUGACCUAGAUGUGGUGGCUGCUGCAACUGCUCGCCGCCUCAACCUAUCCCCGCCUUGCCCAACCCACGCAUCUCGUCCUACACCUCGCUCGGCUCCGGCGUCCUCCGCGCACCUCAACAGAGGCCCCCCACCUUUGCUCCCAUCCCUAACACACCUCGCUAGCCCUUCAUCGUAGUCCUUCUUUUUGAUGAGCGCACCUCCAUUAGGGCUCAUGUCGCCCUCUUCAAGGGUACCACUCUCCCUGAUGCUCUCACAGUCCAGCUACCCAAUCUUGACAUCCUAGUUGUACAGCUUCAUGAGCAUGGCAAGGUCACACGCAUCGGCCCAAGCGACCCAUCUCCCUUCUCCUCUGAUGGGGACUUGGACUCCGCCUCGGAUUCGGCUUCCGACUCAAACUCCCCCGCUCCGGAUCCUUCCAUUGGCCUUCAGUGUGCCGCUACAGCCAUGGCAGCUUUUGGCCCUUUCACUGUCUCACCAGAAUUUCCACAGGGCCCACCACCUUCCCCAUCAAGAAACGCCUCGAUUGCCGCUAACGCCUUUGUUGAGCUUGCCAUCAGUUCAUCUGAUGAUGAAGUCCCUCUCGCCAGGGUUGGUUUGGCACCUCCAGUCCUUUUGGAUUCCAUCCUGGCUGAUAUGCAGCCCUUGCUGGCCGAUCAUCAUUCAGCUAACCCCGAUCUGCCUCCAAACACUUCUCCGGUGGACUGUGUGCCUCCCUCUGCUCCCAUCCUUGCUGUUGCUGCCACUGUUCCAGCCGCCUUGACGACGGCGCCACGUGUUGCUGCUCCGGUGGUGUACUCUCGCCGUCCCAGGGCUGUUGUGGUGCUGGCGCAGUCCCCCCAGCCGGCCAUGGAUCUUGAGGCUGAUCCGGUGGUGCAUGAGGCCGUUGCCAAGAAAGCACGUGCCUGCCGCAAGCGGGCCAGCUCUGUUCUGCAUGUCAGGCGGAGUGCUCGGCUCGCUGAACUGGAGCCAUACAAGAAGGAGACCAUGCAGGACAAGGCCUCCAAGGCAAAAGCCAAGCGCUUGAUGCUGGGCAACUCUGCUCGUGAUUUUGAGGAUGUCGUGCGCUCCGCUCGCCUGUACCCUGAUGAUGUUCAGCCUGGGUCUCCUCGCGCCCUGGCCGCUCUGGCUCUAGAAUGUGGCUCUUCACCUGAUGAGGCCGAGUUCGUGGCUUCGACUGCUGUGUCGUUGCCAAGUGAUCUAUGUAUUGCUGCGUCAAGAAGUUUGGUUGUUGCCGCUGCUUGUGCUGGCUGGCAGACAUACCUGUAUCCGUAGUUUGGUUCCAAGUGUCAUGUAUUUCCCUUUUAAGCUAGUGUUUGUUGUAGUGCUUUAUGUCUAGAUCGACCUUGUCGUUCUGUUCUUGGAAUGUAAGAGGAUUAGGCGACGAAGGAAAAUGCACUGAAGUUUUAUCUGAAUUAAUGUCUCUCAAACCAAACCUUCUUCUUCUUCAAGAAACCAAACGGGUAGCCCCUUCUCCGCUGAAAAUCAGAUCCUUCCUCCCCUGGUCCCUUGAUUUUGUUAGCUAUCUCCCAGCGCGUGGCACUGCUGGUGGGCUACCAACGACUGUCUCUACUACCUCCCUAUCGGUCAAGUCGCACGUCAAUCACUCGUUCUGUAACUCCAUUACACUUCAAUCUCUCGCUUGUCCAACCCCUUUCGUUGUUACCAACGUGUACGCGCCAACUACUCGAGCUCUCAAAAGCGACUUCCUCGACGAAUUAAAAAGUAUUGCCCCCCCCCCCCAGAAAACACCCCGUGGUUAGUCAUAGGCGACUUCAAUCUCCCUCAUGAGAAAAAUAAUCCCAAUUUCCAUCAUCUUGAGGCCAAUCUCUUCAACGACACCUUGGACCACCUUGCUCUACUAGAACUACCCCUCCUGGAUAGGAAGUUCACCUGGACGAAUAAUCAAGACUCACCUGUUCUAGAACGCCUCGACCGUGCUUUCUUCAACUUAGCCUGGAACAAUUCCUUCCCAAACUGCUCGCUCACCUCCCUGCCACGCCUCACUUCUGACAAUGUUCCACUUGUCGUCUCCAGCUCUACCUCCAUCCCAUGCUCCCGCCUUUUUUGGUUUGAACAUUCCUGGGCCUUGCAUCGGGCCUGCCGACGUAUCGUAGCUCAGGAUGCCGCCCAGCACAACCAAACCAGCCCAUCCCCCUCCUCCAACCUGGCCCAAACGCUUCAAACCUGCCGUUCGCGCCUAUAGCAAUGGGAAAACCUUCAGACCACCACCCGUCAGAGAGCAACGUUGUAAGACUGUUCUUAAGUUGAUCGAUGCUAAAGAGGAAUCUCGCUCUCUCUGUACCUGAGUCUUCCCUGCGAGUUGUCCUCAAGCGCUCCCUCCAUCGAGCCAUCCGUGAUCAUAUGAUGGCAAUCGGACAGCGAGCAAAAGUUAAGUGCGCCAUUUGGGGAGAUGAAAAUACAAAAAAAAUCAUGUCUCUACUUCCCAACGCUACCGCAAAAAUCCCCAAGAUGGGAUCUCACGGGUACAGAAGGUUGCGGCGGUGUAAUUAGAUUUUCGUGGAUGCCUCUGAUGGUUUGGGGGUACGUAGGUAUAUAUAGAAGGAAGAAGUACGUCGGUGGAGCAACGUGGGCCCCAUGAGGGUGGAGGGCGCGCCUGGGGGGUUAGGCGCGCCCCCUGCCUCGUGCUCUCCACGUUGAUUGCUUUACGUAGACUCCAAGUCCUCUGGAUCACGUUUGUUCCGAAAAUCACGUUCCCGAAGAUUUCAUUCCGUUUGGACUCCGUUUGAUAUUCUUUUUCUGCGAAAUACUAAAAUAGGCAAAAAAACAGCAAUUUGGGCUGGGCCUCCGGUUAAUAGGUUAGUCCCAAAAAUAAUAUAAAAGUGUAUAAUAAAGCCCAUUAAACAUCCAAAACAGAAUAUAAUAUAGCAUGGAACAAUAAAAAAUUAUAGAUACGUUGGAGACGUAUCAGGCCUCAUUCCGGGCUGUCUCCGCGCUCUGACGAGCCUUGGCGAGUUCGGUAUCUCGAACCGACGCGUCACGCUCCAAGGCCUCGCACUUCCUCACCGCGUCCUGGAGCUCUUGUUGAACCUCGUUGACCCGGGCCUUGAGCUUCUUACGGGCGGCCUGCUCCUUGACAGCCUUCCCCUCUGCUUCGGCCAGGGCCUUCUUCAGGGCCUCGACCUCGGUCGUUGCUCCUAUACAUAUCAUGACACUUCGGUCAGAUAUAUAUCAUCUUACUCUUUUUGAGUAUUUCUCGGGUUAUUACAUACCUUGAUUCUCCUGGAGCUGCCUCUUCACCUGGCCAAGCUCCUCCCCGGCCUGCUCCAGCCUCCGCUUUAGUUCGGAGACUUCAGCAGCAUGUGAGGUCGCGGCCAGCAGUGACGCCUGCAUAUUCAUUCCCGACAAAUUUAGUUAGUUUCCUGCAAUAAAGGAUUGAUCCUCUGUCCGGUUUUUUCUUUCUGAAACAUCGGACAGUGUCUCAGGGGCUACUGUCUAUAUCGGGAUUUUCUCUUUUUUUUGUCGCUUACCUCAAAACCUGUCAGCAGGUUGCUGCAGGCUUCGGUUAGUCCGCUCUUGGCGGACUGAACCCUUUCAAUCACCGUGCCCAUAAGAACACGGUACUCAUCCACAAUGGAAGCGCCUCGUAGCGCUUCCAUCAGAUUAUCUGGUGCCCCUGGUUGGAUAGGGGUCACUGGGGGAAUGGGCGUGUUGCGUGCCGGAUUCCGGAGCCGUAUCGGUCUCCGGAAUCAAGUCCGGCUGAGGGCCGAACUGAGUACGGCCCUCCUCCCCAGUCUCCAGGGGGAUGGGUUCCCCCUAGUGUUCGACGAUGGGGGCUUCGCCUUCGGGCGCCUCUCGAGCCUCCCCCCGGCCUGGGAAGGUCCGUUGGGAGAGCACCUCGUCGUCUCCUUUGGCCUUGGGAGAGUAAGCGGCCGGCGGUGUCUCGCUGGCCAUCUCCUUUGAGUCCAACGAACCUCUUGAUGAGGAUCGCUGGGAGCUGUCGUGGGCCGGACUGUAAUAACAUAAUUAACCAUGUCAAUACAUUCAAGAGGAGAGGCUGGACAUAUGGGUGUGCGGGAGUCAUAGCACUUACGAUGCAGCUUCAGGCUUGGUGCAGGGGUGUCGCUCCGGACUGCUGUUGAUGUCCCAUGCGGAGUUAUCCGCGAAGGAGCCCUUCCCCUUCUUGGACGUCCCUGCCUCCAGUUUCGUGGAGGCCGCCCUCUUCUUCCUUCCCUCAUCAAGGGGAGGGUUGUUCUCCUCCUCCUCCUCAUCGUUGUCAUCUUCGGCGGCGGAGGAGCGGGUCUUGUCUUCGGACGUCGCGCCCGAAGCGCUCUUGCGACGGGGGCCACUCCGGACCCCCUUGGCCUUCCCCUUGGCCUUCUUCGCUGGCGCUGUAUAGGGCGCCGGUACCAGCAUCUUCGCUAAACGCGGAAUGACUGGUUCUUCGGGUAGCGGAGCCGGACACUGGAUCCGCUUCGCCCCCUUCAUCCAUUCUUGAAGAAACAAUGACAGUAAAAGUUCAGAUAUCCUCCUUGAAAGCAGACAAGUAGAGGACGUGUUGGAAACUCACCUCGCUGGCGGGGUGGUUAACGUCGUGCCCACAAUCCGAAUCCGUGGCUGGCGGUGUUUCGUUGCCCUUAAAGAGCAACUUCCAGGCAUCUUCGUGAGUGGUCUCGAAGAGCCUCUUCAGGGUAUGGUGCUUCUUCAGAUUGAACUUCCAUAACGGGAGGCUUUGGCACGGGAGAAUCCGGCGAACUAGCAUCACCUGGAUUAUAUCAACAAGUCUGACAUCCUUGUCCACCAUGCUUUGAACGCGCGUCUACAGCGCUAUCAGCUCGUCUGGCGAACACCAGUUCGGGCUCUUCUCGACCCAAGAGGUGAGCCGCAUUGGGGCACCGGGGUUGAAUUCGGCAGCUACGGCCCAGUUGGUGAUGCGGGGUUCUGUAAUGUAGAACCAUUGUUUCUGCCAUUCCUUGACAGUCUCCACGAAAGUGCCUUUCAGCCAGGAGACAUUGGACAGCUUACUCACCAUGGCUCAUCCGCACUCCGCGUGCUGGCUAUCCACCACCUUCGGCUUCACGUUGAAGACCUUGAGCCAUAGCCUGAAGUGGGGUUGGAUGCGGAGGAAGGCCUCACACACGACAAUGAACGCCGAGAUAUUGAGGAAAGAGUUCGGGGAUAGAUCAUGGAAAUCUAUCCCGUAAUAGUACAUCAGCCCGCGGACGAAAGGGUGGAGUGGAAACCCUAGCCCGCGAAGGAAAUGAGGGAUGAAUACCACCCUCUCGUUGGGCUUCGGCGUGAGGAUGAUUUGCCCCUGGGCUGGAAGACGGUGGGCGAUUUCCUUCGCCAAGUACCCGGCCGCCCGAAGCUCAGUAAUGUCCUUCUCCCUGACAGAGGAGACCAUCCACUUGCCUUGACCUCCGGAUCCGGACAUGGCUGAGUGCUAGCUUGAGUGGGUAGAAGAUGAGGACUUGGGCGUUGGAGCUCAAGAUUGGAAGGGUGGAGGAAGAGAGAAGGCGUGGGAGAAGAAGGGGGAAUCCUUAUCCCCUUAUAAAGGCAGUGAAUAUUGAACGCCUCCCCAUUCGCCUCAAAACUCGCCUAUUCCCAAGGACUGUGUAAAUGGUACGGUUGGGUUACCCACGCCCGUAUUGAUGAGAAUCCCGCAAUAAGGGGACACGAUCUCUGCUUUGACAAGACAUGCCAAUGGCAACCGUGUCUCGAAACAUGGAGCGGCGGACGAAAAACGGUUUGAAAUUAUGACCGGACAGACGUGAUGUCAUGUUACAAAAAGUUGUCAGCGGAUUGGAUUCGUGAAAUAUUAUAUUCUCUCUACGAUUGUGUGUGGUGUGCAGGUCCGGACACAUUGAUACGUCCGAAGACUAUUUCAGAGUUUGGAAGGAGGAACCCGCCUUGCAAUGCCGAAGACAGACCUACGCGCCGGAUACCUUGUCAUUGAAGCCAGGUUCAGGGGCUACUGAGGGAGUCUUGGACUAAGGGGUCCUCGGGCAUCCGGCCUGUUAGCCAUGGGCCGGACUGAUGGGCUGUGAAGAUAUGAAGACCGAAGACUGCACCCGUGUCCGGAUAGGACUCUCCUUGGCGUGGAAGGCAAGCUUGGCGACCGAAUAUGUAGAUUCCUUUCUUUGUAACCGACCUUGUGUAACCCUAGAUCUCCCAGGUGUCUAUAUAAACCGGAGGACUUAGUCCGGAUAGGAGAGACUCAUUACCAUAGUCAUACAAGCUAGACCUCUAGGGUUUAGCCAUUACGAUCUUGUGGUAGAUCAACUCUUGUAAUACUCAUAUUCAUCAAGAUCAAUCAAGCAGGAAGUAGGGUAUUACCUCCAUAGAGAGGGCCCGAACCUGGGUAAACAUCGUGUCCCUUGUCUCCUGUUACCAUCGACCUUAGACGCACAGUUCGGGACCCCCUACCCGAGAUCCGCCGGUUUUGACACCGACACCGCACAAGCUCAAACUUUUCGCCUGGCUGCUCUUUCGAGGACGACUAAACAGUCGUGCAAAUCUGUCCUUCAAACACAUGGCUGAUUCCGCCAGCUGUCCACGAUGUGCUGGCCCCUCUGAAGAUACUACUCAUCUGUUCAUUGCCUGCCCGCGGGCUAUGCAGAUUUGGGCACAUCUAGGCCUCUCCACUACCCCCAGGUUCCAAGACCUCUGGUUGGUCCNNNNNNNNNNNNNNNNNNNNNNNNNNNNNNNNNNNNNNNNNNNNNNNNNNNNNNNNNNNNNNNNNNNNNNNNNNNNNNNNNNNNNNNNNNNNNNNNNNNNNNNNNNNNNNNNNNNNNNNNNNNNNNNNNNNNNNNNNNNNNNNNNNNNNNNNNNNNNNNNNNNNNNNNNNNNNNNNNNNNNNNNNNNNNNNNNNNNNNNNNNNNNNNNNNNNNNNNNNNNNNNNNNNNNNNNNNNNNNNNNNNNNNNNNNNNNNNNNNNNNNNNNNNNNNNNNNNNNNNNNNNNNNNNNNNNNNNNNNNNNNNNNNNNNNNNNNNNNNNNNNNNNNNNNNNNNAUCAGUACCCUAAUAUUCUGCAAUGGAUCAUAUGAAGAACCUAUAAGCACAGUACGCUCAUGUUCUAUUAGCCAAUGGCAUGUAAACUUGUAAGGCCUUCCACUACGUAGCCGGUGCCCGGCAUGUUAAAAUAUAGUAGACUGGGCAUCGAUGCCCUGGUAAAUUUCUUUGGCACCGGCCUCACACCGUGCGGGUGCAGCCCGUAGAAAGAUGGGACCCACAUGUACAUAGAAAAAUCAAAGCAAGCCAACCUCUGGUCAAUCCUUCACGCCAAUUCCUCUCGUCCACCUUCAGAAAAAUGAGGCAUUGGAGCAGCAAGUACAUAUGGUAGUAUAUUCUAUCGCAAUGCUCGAAUGGGGCAUCGGAGCAGGAACUUGCUCCGGUUCCCAGAAAACUUUUUAUGGCACCGCAUGAGCUAUGGAGGGCACCGGUGCCAAAUAAUGUAAAAGUAGAUUUGGCACCUCUUUUGGCCUACAUAGUGGAAGGCCUAAGAGGCCGAGAAAUUUACUGACAGUGAGUCGAACCCCACUGCAGUUAUCACUUGAUAGACGAACAAUGAGAAUACCUGAAAGAAAGAAGGCGGAAGGGAGCAGACAAAUGGAUGUACAUGAAAAAAGAGGAUGAAAGAGGACAACAACCUAUGCAUGAAGAAACAAAUGAAGAAACAACUUCUUGGGCAUAUGAACUGGGCAUACCAACCCGAAACAUGGAUGCAGACAGGAGGCCCGGACCCCGGAGGCGACGGUAGGACGACUAUAGGGCAGCGCGUGCUACUGGCGGCAUGGCGAACUGUCGCAUCACCACAAAUCGUGGGGAUUGGGCGAGACAACACGAAUUGAAUGAAACUUGUGAUGGGCCUACAUGGGCUUUUGGUCGUCGAUUGACUUGAUGAAGGAGAUGAUCUCUAGCUCUGUGCGCGGAGCAGCGGUCCAAUUACGUGGGCUGAGUGGACUACAAUAAUGACGGGUGAAAAGGCACUACGACGCUGGGUGACACAAUUGAACAAAUCUGAGCCUUUUCUUUGCUGGAUCCGACGGCUGACAGCACCAAAUUGUUGUUGUGGCUUGUAGGUGCCCCAUUAUACUGUUUCUUAAUACAUUUUUGCCUGACAUUAAAUUAGGUUUCAGCUUUCCACAUAUAUUGCUACUCUUUUUCAAGAUUUCUUAGGGCAACUCAAACACGAAAACCGCAAAAAGGACCUCACCAAAUGUUCGUGAACAUGUUCGGGUGUGUCCGUGAACAGGGAUGGGGGUGGAGGCCAUCUAAAUGUCCACUCCUAGGUUUUUUUCCAUAUACCCGGACCCGGACUAACAAAAAACAAAGAUAAAUAGCAUAUAAUUUUUUAGCAAUUGAAAGAUAAAUAUUCCAAUGCAACAAUAAUUCAAAUAAAUAUAUUACAAUCCAAACAUAAAGUUUUGAAAUAAAAUGUUUAAGUUUGAAUCAUCAUAGUCGGACACAUGUUCUAUUUAUGAAACACCUAAAGGUGCCCAGCCAGAUCAUUUUGCAGCUGCUCACGAGUUCAUUGAUGUCAAAUUUGAUGAUGCAUUUGGAUAAAAUCCUCAAAUUUAACUGGAUUCUGCCAUGGACCGAACACUUGUCGUGCGUGGUGUCUGCCAUGGACGGCGUCAGAAGAUAGCGAAGGAUACUUGAGCUGCGGCUAGAUAGCGGAUGGAACUGCUGCAUAGUCCAAGGUGGGAAGGCGCUUGGGUGGAACACCUGAGGUCCAGCAAAGCCUGGAUAGAGUGCGGUGGGAGGGACGGAGCGAGGGGAAAGAGGCUUCAGGUUGGGAUAUUUUGGGUGUGUCGGACGUCCGGAUGCCCGCAAACCGCCCUUACGAUUAUGAGAUUUCAGACAUCCAAACCAAUUCAGCCAUUUUUGGUGACCAUCCAACAUCUAAGGGCAACACAGAUAAUCAAAUUUGGAUGACAAAAAAUGACUGAAUCAUCCGGUCUGGACAUUUGCAGGCAAUUUAGUGAUCAGCAAUGGAGUUGCCCUACGGGUUUGUUACACCUAAGCCAUCAAGACAUCUUCCUCUUUUCUCUUGUAUUCUUCUCCUAGUUGAUUCAUUAUCUCUACCGUAUUGCAUGAAAUGAAUUUGGGUUUCUGACAAGAAAACAGUAUAACGAAGUUAUUGGUAUUACACUGGACUGUAUUUUUAUGUUGCUUGACAUGUUGAAUUUCUCACAACAACGUAAAAAUAGAACUUCAACAAAAACAAAAUGGCCCGCUAUUGCUUCAAGUUAUGUUUAUACUUGACUAAGCAGAAGAUCUUCCAGCCUGAGCUCAGAAACAACUAAAAGCACCGUAUGCAACAACCGAAAACGCACAUACAGCUCACAAACAUUAGCUUCCCAAAACUAGGCAUUAUACAGCGCUGCAGGAUAAAUACCUCAGCAUUCAAGGGUAAGAAAAGCAUCACAACUGCAGCUUAUUCGGGAUUCGAAAUCACCAUAAUCUUUAAUCCGGUGUGUACAAAACUGUCUCAGACAACAAGUUUAAUGAGUCUACAAGGCAAAUUCUCGAGUUCAGCCAGUAACACACCUCUGGUUGAACCCCUCGGAAACUGCUGUAGAGAAUUCAAGAUUUUAUUGUGCGAGGGGGUUGCAAUGUUAUCAUUCACUUCAGUUUUGUUACUGCGGCAUGUAUGGCAUCUGCAAGAUGGGGUACAGUUCUGGAGCUCAAACCGGCCAUGCUGAUCCUCCUGCAAGACAAAAUAUAUGACCUGUCAAUAUGAACUAGCUACAGGGGACUCUUGAGAAUGAAAACCACCAAAGAAAGCAGUGCUGAAUCUACUAAAUGUGCAUAGACAGUAUGGCUGGAAAAGAAGGCAUCCAAGUUACACUACUAAUGCAUUUGGUGACGAGAUAUGUAAAUGGGUGAGAAUUCAGAAGGCAUUACCCAUCAGAUGUCAUGUAAAUGUGAUAUUCUUGCCUCAUGAAGGCUACUUGAUCACUGUUGAGCCCAGUGAAAGUAAACAUCCCAAUCUGCUUAAUGAUGUGGGACCAAUCUCCAGGUGUUUCUGCAUGAUAUGAAAAAUGGUCAACACUUUGGUAUAGAGGAAUUAAUAAGAAAUGGGUCAAAAGAUUGAACAUCCAUAACUUGGAGAUCGAUGGACCAGAACCAGAACACUUAGUGCACUACAUGAACUUCAGAUUUCAGGGAAUUUAACAGGAACUUAGUAAUAAACCGUAUACAAAUAUAGGAGGUCAGAUAUUUAUCAGAUUUUGCUAAUAACCCAAGAAGUUUCUGUUCAGAAUAACGUAAUACUAAUAUCCAAAGAACAAUUAGUUCAGAGAAAUUGUAUCAAUUGCUGAAAAUAAAAUGACACUAGGUUCUGAUAGAAGAUCCUGGGAGAAUUUAUGAGACUGAAAAAGGCCAUUAUUCAGACAUUAAUUAUGUUAAUAACAGCAAAGAGGAAACAGUGGACUUUGACAGAAACUAGUACCCCUGAUUUUCAGCGCAUUAAAAAGCUGCUCCCUCAUGCUAAUUAUCCUAUCAGCCAUGGCCUUCAGCUCCAGAGUCCAUUCGUCGAACAUAGCACUACAAAUUGAGAAAAAAUAGUCAAUAAGAACUAAGCACUACCAAUUAUUAGAUUUGUCGAUCUGCCAAUAAAAAUUCAUUUCAACACAACUCAGUCUAUGAUUGAAUAGAAUACUACCUGUCCUUAAGUAUGGUAGCCACGAUAGAAGCACCAUGAAGAGGAGGGUUCGAAUACAUAGGCCUAAUUACAAGCUUAAGUUGACUUUCAACCUUAACAGCUAUAUCAGCACUCCCACAAACCUGAAACAUUAAGUUGGAUUUUUCUUUCAGUUCCUCAAACAACUCAAUAACAUGAAAACUAUGAGAUGCAAUACAG